GCGGGCGUGGCGAAAUGGUAUACGCGCAGGAUUUAGGAUCCUGUGGGCAUUGCCCGUGGAGGUUCGAGUCCUCUCGCCCGCA
rnacentral:tRNA from 1 species